UACGUAGGGUGCAAGCGUUGUCCGGAAUUAUUGGGCGUAAAGAGCUCGUAGGUGGCUUGUCACGUCGGGUGUGAAAUCCCAGGGCUUAACCCUGGGUCUGCAUUCGAUACGGGCUGGCUAGGGUCCUUCAGGGGAGACUGGAAUUCCUGGUGUAGCGGUGAAAUGCGCAGAUAUCAGGAGGAACACCGGUGGCGAAGGCGGGUCUCUGGGAAGGUACCGACGCUGAGGAGCGAAAGCAUGGGGAGCAAACAGG
rnacentral:rRNA from 1 species